AACGAACGCUGGCGGCGCGCCUAACACAUGCAAGUCGAACGAGAAUCCGGGGCAACCCGGUAGUAAAGUGGCAAACGGGUGAGGAAUACAUGGGUAACCUACCCUUGAGAAGGGAAUAACCCGCCGAAAGGUGAGCUAAUACCCUAUACGCUAUCUUUUUUUCGAAAAGGAUAGGAAAGCCGGGUCGAGGACCUGGUACUCAAGGAGGGGCUCAUGUCCUAUCAGCUUGUUGGUGGGGUAACGGCCUACCAAGGCUACGACGGGUAGCUGGUCUGAGAGGAUGAUCAGCCACACUGGCACUGAGAUACGGGCCAGACUCCUACGGGAGGCAGCAGUGAGGAAUAUUGCGCAAUGGGCGAAAGCCUGACGCAGCGACGCCGCGUGGGGGAUGAAGGUUUUCGGAUUGUAAACCCUUUCAUGAGGAAGAUAAAGUGGGUAACCACUUAGACGGUACCUCAAGAAGAAGCCACGGCUAACUUCGUGCCAGCAGCGCGGUAAAGUCUAGCAUG
rnacentral:rRNA from 1 species